rnacentral:lncRNA from 1 species
UCUUCUGUUGGAGAUACUACUGAAGAGGACAGUUCAACGUAUGUGGCCUCUCUCCUUCACUUCUUCAACGGUCUCGAUUUCAUCUUCCUCUCAUCUUCCAUUUAUACCAGGAUUAUCGCCGUUCGUACAACUUCUCUCCAACACCAUGAAAUCACAGGAAGCACAGAGAAAGAAGAAAUGACAACAAGCAACAAAGAGAAAAACAAUCACUCCAUCUUUUUUCUUGUCUGCCUCUUUAGAGAGAAAGAGGAGGACUAGUCUAGAGAGAGAAAGAAAGGGACACCUUAUUUUUGCCCUAAAUAUUCACACACG